CCCGGGUCGAUCAUAGGCCCGAGAGCCGGGAGGGCCCUUAGAACAUUGCGUAGGCCAGCCCACACUUUGGACAGUGGAGUUUGGAAUCUCCAGAGCCAGGCUUCUUCUGUGACCCAAGCUUCGCCUCCUCCCUAGGGCCCCAGAGCCCGCACCAGAGCCGCAGGCCACCUGGGGAGGCCAAGACAGGACCACUGAGAGAAGUAACCAUGGAAGACAGCCGGGCUCAAGUGCUGGGGGAAAGAGCUCCGUUCUGCAUCAGCUCUCUGCCAACGACUCUGGAUCCCCAGGUGGAGAGGAGAGAGCCCUGGGCCAGAAGGUGGGGGAGCUGGGCUCUCCCCCUGACUCACUGUGUGACCUUGGGGAAGUCACUUCCCCUCUGUGCACCCCAGCAUUCCUGCCUUAAAAGUGGCCAUAAUGCGGGAGAAGUGGAGAGCAUCAAGGAAGGGGGUGUGACCCCAGAGGAAUCUGGAGUCCAGGUUCUAGGGGACAAGGCUCCUUUCUCUACAGGAUCUGAGGAUGGUUCUCCAAUGAUCACGUCUGCAUCAGGGGCGCCCCAGACGUUGAGGAAAGAGACCCGGGAUCUACCCGUGCUUCACUGUACGACCUUGGCUCCUCCAUCUCCAGACUGCCCCCUGCCCCCGGAGGAGCAUGGAAUGGCUGCCAGACUCCUUCCAGUCAGGGCUCAGGUAAGUUGGGUUCUCACAUCUCUCUGUAGACCACCCCCUGGCCUCUCUCCUGGACGCUUUCUGCCAGUGUCCCAUCCAGGGAGGAGAGCCCAGGCUCUGUGGAGGCUCUGCCCUCUGAGGAAGCAGCAGGGUGACCUCCCCGCGGCUCUGCUUGCCUCACUCCUGUCUCUGGGACCGCAGCCUCUUGUCAGUGACCAUUCAGUGAUAGAUCUCUCUGUCGCAGUGACCAGCCCCCUCUGUGUGUGUCCCUGCACCCUCUCUCAGGAGUUCCUUCCAUGCCUGUGUCUGUGUGGGGCUGGCCUCGGAAAGCCUCUGGAGCAGGAGUGGGGGGUCUUGCUGUCACUACAGGUGCCUGGGCAGGAACUAGAUGGCCCUUUGGCAGGGAUGGCACAGCUCAGGCAGAAAUGUCUUUGGAGGUCGCAUCAGCUCCGAGAGUCUAGUAUUCUCAGAACCUCCUCAUACUCAGAACAGUCCAGAAAUGAAAUGGUUUCCUUUGAUAGGUAGUAAGCUCCCCGUCACUGCUAGGUAUGCAGAUAAAGACUACAAAAGAGGUGAGAUGCCCCUGAGGGCCCCUGAUGAAGCCAUCGCCUCGCUCUUUCUGUCACUCUGACUAUAUCUGUGUCUCAGUCAGCAAGCAUAAUACCUCCUCUGUGCCAUGCACUGUUCUAGGCACUGCAGGGGAAAAAUACACAAGUGAGCCAGCCCCUACCCUUGGGGAGCUCACAGUCUACCAGGACUACCGGUGCUGGGUGGCUUGGUCCCAACUCUCUGUGCCGAUAGCUGGGGGUUCUGGGUGGGAAACCUUGGCUCUGGCCCUGGGUCAGUCACCAGGACCCCCGGGGCCCAUGUUACCUCCUCAUGCACUGACCCCCUUCCCGUGUUGUUGGGAGGCCAGAGCUGCACGGUAGGGAUGGGGGCGGCAGUCAUUUUCUGAGAUUGCUGUGUGAGUCUGGGCCAGUCAUUAAAUCAUUCUGGGUCUCAGUUUCCUUCUCUGAAAAAUGGGGGCAAAUCCUUGAAGUUCAUCCCUUCCUCCCAACCAGAGAGGCCUCAUGGUGUAGAGGAAGAGCCAGGUUCAGGCCCUGCCUCUGACUCUCACGGGCUGUUUGACCCUGGGCACAUCACUCAACUUUUCUGUGGUCUAGGCAGCGUGAGAAGGUGCCCACCUGCAUUCCUUCACUGGCUUCACGAAGGAGGGAGCACCUGGGCUGAGCCUGUAAAGAAGAUGAGGAUUCUGAGGCAGAGAUGAGGAAGUGCAUUCUAGUCAUUGGACAAAUGCACGGAGGUGGGAGACGGGAUGUCAGAGUCAACGACCAGCUAGUUGUACUGGAGUGUACAGCACAUGAAUCAGUCAGUCAGUAAGCACAUAUUAGGCACCUGCUGUGUGCCGGCCACUGUGCUGGGUGUUUGUGUUUUAUCCCAGCAGCACGGAGAGAUUGUGGAGGAUUAUUGAGGAGCUGAGGGAUAUGGUCAGACCUGGGCCUUAGGAGGAUUGUUUUAGCAAUGG
ensembl:lncRNA